ACGAACGCUGGCGGCUGCUUAACACAUGCAAGUCGAACGGAGUGGCGAACGGGUGAGUAACGCGUGAGCAACCUGCCUAUGACAGUGGGAUAGCCUCGGGAAACCGGGAUUAAUACCGCAUAGUCAUAGAUGGGCUCGCGUCUGUUUAGCUAGUUGGUGAGAUAACAGCUCACCAAGGCGACGAUCAGUAGCCGGUCAGAGAGAAAGAACGGACACAUUGGAGCGGAGACACGGUCCAAACUACUACGGGAGGCAGCAGUGGGGAAUAUUGCACAAUGGGGGAAACCCUGAUGCAGCGACGGCGCGUGAACAAAGAAGGUAUUCGUAUCGUAAAGUUCUGUCCUAUGGGAAGCAGUACCAUAGAAGAAAGCUCCGGCUAAAUACGUGCCAGCAGCCGCGGUAAUUC
rnacentral:rRNA from 1 species